GGGCUGCAGCCUGGAGAAGUGGUGGGGUGGGUGGGUCGGCUCUUGGCCUUUUGCAGAGUCCUUGGCGAGCUCCCAGUGGGGCUUUGCAGCUGCUUUGACUGUAAGGGCCAGGACCUGGGUCCCUGGACUGCCUCAUAACUUGGGUCGUGAGGACUGAAACAAAAUCCAUCACUUAAGCAGGGCAAUUUCCUUUUCAAAGUCACUGCUUUAUUGGACCGCAAUCUGUUCCACGCUUGCUUGCUCUUUAACAGCCAUUUUCACGAAUGAUCCUAUUACUCAAGAAGGAAAGAUAGAUUUGCCUUCAGACCACUUAAAAAAAGUGAAAAAAAAAGGAAAGGGGAAAAAUUCACUGUAAUGGCCUUUUUGCAAAGUAGUGGGAAGUGACAAAUUCUUUGGAGUAAAUUGUUUCUCACAAGAAAUCAAUCUUGACAUUGGCAAGGGAGAUUUAUCAGUGAUUUCCAGUUUCUUUCCUAAGGAUCAGACUAAUUGUCCAUUAAUUUUGCUUUUGGCGUUUGAAAUUACUAUGUGAGAUUCCUCUUUUCCAGAGAUAAAACUUCAAUCAGGUGAGAUUGUUGCGGCAGACUUUCUCACUAUACAAAUGAUCUGAUGGCUUAGGUCUGGGGUUAGCAAACAUUUUCUAUAAAGAUAGUAAAUAUUUUAGGCUUUGCAGGCAUACUGUCUCUGUUGCAACUUCUCAGCUCUAUUCUUGUGUUGCAAGAGCAGCCAUAGAUGGUAUGUAAAUGAUAAUAUAAUUUUUCCAUGUCAUGAAAUACUUUUUUGAUUUUUCUCUAUUUUUGGUUUUUAAAUGUAAAAACCGUUCUUAGCUCAUGGACCAUACAAAGCAGGCAGUGGACAUGAUUUGACCCAAGGGCUAUGAUUUGCUGACUCUGGUGUAGGUUAAAGUUUUAACUUUGAUGAUAUUUAUCAGCUCCAGAAUUGUGAAAUUCCAGAACUGGAAAGGGCCUGAAACUUCUAGUCCAAGCUCCUCAUCUUAGCAGGGGAGAAAAUGGAGGCAGAGAGUGAUUAAAUGACUUACCUGAGGCCACUCUUUGACAGUCUUACCAUCCAAGUAAGGGUGCUAUAAAAUUAUUUCACUGGUUUUACGUGUGUGUGUGCGUGUGUGUGUGUAUGCAUGGAAGGGGGCACACAACGAGUGUUCUGUCACCUUUCAAAUUGUGAUUUAGUAUAUUUUAUUGAGGCAAGAAAUAAGUCAAAAUUCAGAUAAGUCAACAGGGAUCUCUAUUGGGGGCAGAGGUUAAUGUCAGGCUGAAUGGGGGAGCAGAACUUUGAAAAGAAGUUGAUUGCUGCCUUUUGGAACAGCAAAACUCUAAGGCAGAGAGCAGAGCACUAAACAGAUUUUCCCCCCUUAAAAGGCUGUGGUAUUUCUGUAAUUGGCUUUUAGACACCAUUAAAAAGGCAGAGAUAGGUGGGGGUUGGGUGAAGAGAUUUGAGUGGGGAGUCAAGAUACCCGUAUCCUAAUUCUUUCGCAGACCGCCUAGUUCCUGUUGCACGCUUUUGGAAACUUCUUAAAGAAUGGGAAUUCGUAGUGGUCAGUUGACCCUGAUAAGGACUCAGUAUUUGGACCUUUAUUUAUUUAUUUAUUUAAAGAAAAUAGAGAUGGAGUCUCCCUAUAUUGCCUAGGCUGGUCUGGAACUCCUGGGCUCAAGCUCUCUUCCCACCUGGCCUCCCAAAGUGCUGGGAUAACAGAUAUGAGCAACUGCAAAUGGCCAGUAUUUGGACCUUUAAGCCAAAAUAUUCCAAGAGACCUCUUUGCCAUGUAUUAAUUACGUAAUAAACAGACUUGAAUCUAGUCUCUUCUCCUCUUACCUAAAAUAGAUGAAUUGUUUGACUGUUUCCAAGAACGGCAGCAGAGCAACAUGGCACCCACUCCUCUCUACACCCCUUCCUCCAUUGCCUUCUCCAUUUUUCCUCCACAUGGGAACACUAAUCAAUCGAUUCAUGAAUCCUCAACAAUUACUUAUGGGGUUAAUAGAAGCAAGCAGUGAAUGUGAGUGUGGAUUUUAUGGUUCCUUGAGUGUUUCAAGCUAAUGUAUCCCUCACUGAGGUAGCAGCAGGGCCAGCACUCAGGUGAGGCCACUAAGGCACCUCUCUCACCUCACCCUAGCCCUGGCCCUGAUUAGCAGAAACUUCAAGUUGAGAGCCCCAAAUCUCACAGCCUCAAAUUGGUAGGAAAGCAUGCCAGGGACCAGGCAACUCAAGUUGGAGCUCCCCCCCUGACAAACUGUGGGAGCUUGGGAAACAUGUAGACUCACCUAUUUUUCUACCCAUUUUUCUCUUCUUGUUCCUUCUAUCCCUCCCUGGGAAUCUGUGUGAAUAGAUGAGAUAAUAAACCAGAUUUUUCUGAGUUCAUAAGUUACUCCCUGGGAAUAAUUUAUAUUGCACAAAUACUUUCCAGUCACUGGGGUAUUAUUUGGUAAAUUACUGCCCUCCUGCAAUGCUGUAAGUGGAACCCUAGUGACCUGAAGGAGUUAAUGCCUCCCUGCAAGCAAUUAACUUGCUCCUAGGGCAUAAUUUACACUCUAAGAGGAUCUGGCGGACCAUAUGUGAAGCACUUGGAAUUCUUUGAGAGAAAGGCAGCUCUAGAAAUGUAAAGAAUUAAUAUUAUACAAGGUGAAUUUGCAGACCUUUCUUUGAGCAGUCUAUCCUGUGACCUCCCAGAACAGUCCUGUUAGGUAGGCCAUUGUUAUCCUUUCCAGAGGCAUUCUCUAGUCAAUGGAAAGUCAGCCAAUAAUAUACCAGCAUGAGGUUAGGGAAAACUUAUUUGUAGAAUGACUUCACUAUUUGAAAAAUAAUGGGUGAAAGAUUGGGAGGUCUAUUUUAGAAAUCUGAGUAAAAACCAAAAGCUAAAGUUAAGAUAAAUUUAAUAAGUAUCUGCUUUACAAUGUUGAAUAGUAGAAAUGUGACCUAAAUAUAAUGGUUCUUUUUAAAUACAAACUCAGGGACACCAACAUAUUAGAAGGUGGCAUCUGUUUCAAAGUAGUCAUUGCAGAAGACUGUCUGUAUGUCCUAAUAUGCACCUAUCGCUUGAAACACUUUCAUAACAUGCAAACACAAUUGUUCAUCCAUCCAACAAAUAUCAUUUAGGGAUCUCCCUUCAUAAGGCCCUGUGUUGGCAGUCGCUGAGAGACCAGAAAAAAAAAAAAAAGUCAUGAGACAGCAUCUUUAUAUUCAGGGACGGCAGUUCUCUGGAUUUUGAGGGCCGGUUGAAUUUUGAGCAAAGACCAAACCAUCUGAAGUCAAUCCUAGUGAAAGAGAAGGGCUAAAACCAAGAGAAGAUGAUUUAGAAACUGCUCAUGGCUCAGUGGUAAACUGCAACGAUGGCCUCAGUUCUCACCCUUCUCUGUAUCUAAGCUCUUUGCUAUAUGACUCUGCAGUUCCUCUUGCUAAAAUGAUGGUGUCUAUUUCCCCAUCCUGUGAAUCUGAAGUGGCACUGUGACUUGCUUGUCUUUGCCAGUAUGCAAUGGUAGUGAGAGUGUGCCAGUUUUGAGCCAGGACCCACAAGGUAAACAUGUUUCCACUUACUCUUUCAAAGCUAUGCCAUUGCCAGGAGAACACGCCUGGGCUAGCCUGCUGGAGUAUGAGAGAUGUGUGGAACGGAGCAGUACUGCUCCUUUUGUCACAAGCAAGGUCAGUUUAGAUGAGCUGAGAGCCAACUGAUUUCCCCACCACUCUUCAUCCCCAGACAUAUAAAUGAGCCUGUAAAGAUCAACAGUUCUGCCUCUCCCACCAGUCUGGAAUAAGCAAGGAAUGCUUAUUAUUGUAUGCCAGUGGGCUUUUGUGGUUGUUAUGCAGCACCGUUAUGACAGUGGAUCACUCAUACAGCUUGUAAACUGAUUCCAAAAGAGGAACUCUCAAUGCUAAACAAUCACAACAUUUCUGUACUAAGCGAUUGGUGACUCCAGGUGACUACCAGGAGGCUGUAACCUAUGUUUGGGAAUAAAUGUCCCCAUGUUUACUGGGCAUCCUUCCUCUGUUCUACUGUACUUCAUACUUAUUGUAUGAAAUUGCUUGUAUGCAGAGCCAUGGCUACAUUAGACCAAAUGUUCUGUAAGGGCAGAAACUACAUAUUUUAUUUUUGCCUCUUUAGUAUCUAGCACAUAACUACUUGUUAAAUGAAUGAAAGAAUGAAGACUCUCAUUAGAAGUCACAUCUUGCAUUGCAUGCUUUUAGUAACUUUGGUCUACUCAUGAUGUGUGUUGGGUGUGUAAUAUGUAAUCUUAAAAACUUAAUGCAAUUACUUGGCUAGAUUAUAUAUGCACAUUGCACUUUUCAAAAGGUGCAAAGGUAUUUUCAGUGAUAAGUGAUUCUUUUUCUCAUGCCAUCUUCAAGCCAUCCACUUUUCUGGUAGCAAAAUUACCAGUUUCUUAUCUAUUCUCCCAGAGAAUAUAUUCAUUAAAAUAAAACUUUUGUCUAGGAAAGAAAUAACAUUUCCAGCCAUUAAUUUUUUUGUAAGUUUGCACAUUUUACAAUUCCUUAUCUUUUGGAGCCUAGGCCAAUUGGAUGUAGCCUGUAUGUUCUUUGCUAGAAUGUUUUGAGAGCUGUUCCCCUGGGUUUGUUCCUUAAUUUUUUUUUUUUUUUACUGUUAAUUGAUAAAUGAUAAUUGUAUGUAUCUAUGGGGUACAAUGUGUUUUUCUGAUACAUAUAUACAUUGUAGAAUGAUCAAAUUAGGCUAAAUAACAUGCCUGUCACCUCAGAUACUUACCAUUUCUUUGUGGUGAGAGCAUUUAAAAUAGUUGUUUUAGCCAUCUUGAAAUCUACAAUGCAUCAUUAUUAACGGUUGUCACGAGGCUGUGUAAUAGAUCACCAGAACCUACUCCUUAGGUCCAGCUGAAACUUUGAAUGCUUUGACCAACAUCUACUCUUUCCCGCCCUCCUCCUCCCUCCCCCUGCCACCCCUCCCACCCUGGCUUCUGGUAACCACCAUUCUAGAAGUUCAACUUCUAUGAGUUUGACUUUUUUAGAUUUCAUUUUUGAUUCAGCAGCUUUCCUCAGGUUGUUUAAGGUUCUAAUGCUGCUGGAAUUCAAGCAGCUGUUUGUUUCUUUGCCUGUGUACUUCUAUCACAUGAGCCGUCAGACCAGCACUGGGAACUUGAUAAUUAGCACUGGGAACCAGGUAGCAGAGAGAGCAGAUAAACUGGGAGCCAGGCAGCAGACUGAGCAGAUAAACUGGGAGCUGGGCAGCAGAUCGAGCAGAUAAACUCGAAACGUUGGGCUCUCCAGGUGACAGCGGUCAGGAGUUCUGAACCUCUAGAAAGAACCUUUUAUCAUGAAGAACCAAGGCCCUCUGUUUAAUGGUGAUAGUGGGGUGAGUAUAAUUUGAAUUUAAGAGUUGUGAAAGAAUCUUUGCAGACUGGCAUGUUGCUUCUGUUUUAUAACAAUGCAAAGAUUUAUAAACUGUGGUGAAACCAUGUUGGCCUGUUCUGGAAUAAAGCUGGUAUUGUAUCUUUUAAGGCAUGUUUUGGGGGUUCUAUGAAGUGGUUUAAAAUAAAGCCGCAAGAACAAGAAAAAAUUUAUUUUCAGAUAAAUCUUCGUAGACUGCCAACUCCUAGAAUUUAUGUGCUAAAGAUGUAUAACUUAUUCUUUUCAACAAUUAAGUGGUUUAAAAAUAUUCUUCCUCAUGGUUCAUUGAAUUUCAGGUUCAACUAAUUUUUAACAGGCACAAAAUAUGUACUAGGUACCCUAUUAAAUAUUCUCAUGUAUAUUUUCUCAUCUAGUGAAAUGUACUGUUCAUUAAAUAUUAUGUUACAAAGAUCAAAGCAAGAAAAUGAUUAAGAAAUAAAAUGACUUUUUUUAAUAUAUGCUACAUGGUUUGCAUAAUCUUAGUUUGUGUAACAUGGUUGCUCAUAAUCUCCCUAGACGUCUUUUGUGGGCUUGAUACCAGAUUUAGCAUGAUUCAUUUACAUUCAGAUGAUGGCGAAUCUCAGAGAAGAAAAACUGCAGCAUAGCAUGCAUGGGAUGUGAGUUUUUUCUUUUUGAUUGAGGGAUUGUUUCAUCAAAACAUUGUUUCAAACAGAUGUGUUCUAGUGUUUACUGAAGGGAGAAUUCAAGCCAGACUGAUUAAUUAGCAGUUACUCAAGCCUUUUCCUUGCUCCUAUCUGGGUAGUCUGGGGAUUAUGAAGCUGUCAGGUUAUAGUCAGAGGAUGGAAAAAAAUGACAAACAGCAACUAAACCUCAGAUCACCAUGCUAGGAUGUAAAAUAAGGUGUUCUAACCACUCUGUAUAAUUUUUAUUGGAGCAUAAGUUUUUACAAGCAGGUGUGAUAGGACUAAGGCAGAGGUUGGCAAAUUUUUUAUAAAGGGCCAGAUAGUAGAUAUUUUAUGCUUUGUGGGCCAUACAGUAGGUCACAACUACUAAGCAACCACUGACUGCGUUAGUACUGCAAUUACAGAAGCCACAGACAGUAUGUGAACAAAUGAACAUACCUGUAUUCCAAUAUAUCUUUACUUACGGACGCUAAAAUUUGAAUUUCACUUAAUCUUUUUGUGUCGUGAAAUUGUGUUCUUUUAAUUUCUUUUAGGCAUUUAAAAAAUGUAAAAAGUGUUCUUAGUUUGCCAGCUGCACAUUUGGACCAUAGUUUGCCAACUCCUAGACUAAAGCAGAGUCCUGAAUCAGUGCUGGGUUUGGUUCAUUUGAUUUUUUUUUUAACGUGAGAUUGAUUCUUUCUAAAUUUGUUUCUAUAUAUGUAAAAAUGACGGAUGAUAAUAGUUGCACUAUCUUUUCGCAGGAUUAUUGGCAGGAUUAAAAAAGGCAAUGGAUUUAAAAGUAUUUUGAAGAAUGUGAAGUGCCAUGUUGAUAUAAGAUAUUGAUUAUAUCAUUAUUUGUGUCAGGAAUGUGUUUGGUGUAAGCAGCUGAGAGCUUGAUUAACAACGGCUUAAGCCAUAAAGACGUUUGCAGUUCACUUACCGGGAUGUACAAGUUCCCAGCAUUGGUGUAAUGGCUUGAUGUUGUCAUUAAAGACCUGAUGCUUGCUCUUUGCAUUCUGCUGAUGUCCCUGUGUUGGUGAUGCCUCUUUUCAUGGUGCAAGAUGGAUGGCAUAACUCUCUAGAGUUAUAGGUCAAUGUUCCAAACAAGAAGGAAGUGGGGAAUAGAGUGAAAAGGGAUUCCUUCCAGGACUCUCUUUAAUCAUAGAGGAAAGUCCUUCCUAGCAUCCCCCAGUAGCCCUCCCUUCACAUCUCAUUGGUAAAAACUGGUUCAUGUGCCUGCCCUAGACCAAUUGCUGGCGAAAGGAAGGGUGAUUGAUGUGCCUGGCUUGUAGACUAAUCAUGAAUCUGCUUCUGGGACUAGGCACAAUGCUGUGUGGACAGUCAGGGUUCUGUUAGAGAAGAAGAGGGAGAGCAACUAAUGAUAUCAUCACAUUAUUAUUUUUUCCCCUAUUACAAGUUAUAUCUCUAGCAUCAGGUUGGGGGAAGAGUUGAUGAGCAAAUUUCCUAGGAAUACUCCAGGUGCCAUACAAGCUGUCCACAUGAGUACGUACAGGCAAAGACUAUGUAGUCAGCUGGCAGGGUCAGGCUGCAAGUUGAGACUGCAUCAGAAUGGAAUCAGCACAUCAACCAGUGCCCAUCUCAGAACGAAGCAGAAGAAGGGAGGAAUCUGAAGGUCAUCUGCAUAUGGCUUCUGGCUCAUACUAGGGAGAACCAGCUUAAUUCUCAAAUAUUACACAUGAUGAUAACAUGCUCCACAGUCAUUUUUCUGGGGAAUCUCUUCAUUGUAAAAUCCAGAACUGUAGGUGCCUAUAUGGGUGGGUCUCAUUUCCAGAAAGGUCAGAUUAAAAAUCUAGAUUUGCAAAACACAGAUUAGAAGUCCAAUAGUCUGAAGUUUAAACUAUUCUUCAUUUUGUGAAUAAUAUAACAUUUGUCUAAAUAGUGACAUAAUUGGUGCACUUUAAAUGAUUUCAUUGAAGAUUUGAUUUCCACAUAAUUUAGUUUACAUAGUAUGUGUGUAUACACACACAUGCACACACCUAUUGCACACACCACGACAUCAUCAAGCCUCUACAUCAACCCUGGGAACUUGUACAUUCAGCUAAGUGAACUACAAACAUCUUUAUGGCUUAAGCCAGUUAAUAGAGCUCUCAGCUACUUAUACCAAACACAUUCCUGACACAAAUAAUAAUAUAAUCAAUAUCUUAUGUCUGUAUUGAGUUAGGUAGGCCUAUAAAUUGAUUAAUUGAAAAAUCAUGAAUAAAAUAAUCCUUUAGAAUAAAAUAUGCACUAAUAUGAACUUAAUUAAACAUCUCAGAGUUUUAGGGUACCAUAGCAAAUGACAUUUCCCAAGGAAUUAAAUACCUAUUAAAAAAAUCAAGUCAUACACAGAUUAUACACUCUGUUCAUACGGGUCAAAUAUUCAGUGCAGAUAUUCCCACAUUGUGUAGGAUUUGUGUAGGAUAUAGAACCAAAGUCCCUCAAAACUCUAAGAUUAUUUUAUUAUAUAAGUACCAUUUGACCUUGAAGUUUUCUACUUAAUUACUGCAACUUUAUGAUUAUAGUAGAAAUGUCUAUAUUAUUAUAGGUUUAGUAGAAAUAUCUAUAUUAUUAUACUAUGAUUAUAACCAAGUUCCAAACUCAUAGCUCACUGUUCAUUCAUUCACCUAUUCAUUUAUGUGUUCAUUCUUUUUUUAAGCUCAUAUGUGGUCCCACUCUCAUGGAAUUUAUGGUCUAGAAGAGAAGAACAUUAAACAGGUAUAUGAUCCUACUGAUGAAUAUAUAACCCCAUAUAGCUUAGUGAUCUGAAGAAAGGAACACUAUACUAUGUAAGGACAAAAUGAAGGAAGCUGAUCUUGACUGGGGAUCAGAGAAAGCUUCUCUGAGAAAGCAAUGCUUGAGCUGAAAGCCAACAUGUGAAUAGGAGUUAAUUAGGUGAAAGUGGUAGAGUGAAUUGGAAAGAGCAUUACUAACAGAGGUACAGUGUGUGUGUUAGCUUAUCAUCUGUCCGUCUGUACAUCCAUGCAUCCAUACAUCUGUGCAUCCAUCCAUCCAUCCAUCCAGUUUUAUAAAACAGCACAGUACCAAGUGGUCAUAGAGAUGCAAACAAGUAGAAAUCAUCUGUGUUUUCUAAGUCUGUAAGUCCAUUAGGAAAGACUAGAGAAGUACACUGGUAAAAGAAAUUCUUAGAAAAUGUUCAGAGGUUAUUUUAAGUAACAGUAGGUGUGAGGCAAUUUCAGCAGUUGCUCUUGCUCUUAUAGGAAUGGGAUUUGCAGCCCUCCUGGGCAUUGACCGCACUCUACUUUUUCCCCAUGGGAAAGGUGCAGAGUGUAGAGGAUAAGACUCAGGUGCUAGCAGCAUAACCAUGCUUCCAUGGGAACUGCAAUUUGCUGUUAAAAAAUGAAGAAAAAUCUUGCAUUAACAAAGGAAUUUAUUUAAUUUCCUUUGUUAAAUAAGGAAUUUCAUUUCUACAAUGAAUGACUUUUUUCUAGUGCUUUUAGGAUUAACCAAAAAGCAAAAUUCAUUUUUUUAAAAUGGGAUUUAAAUUAGCAUCUAUUCUACACAGAUAAUUAAUUUAAUCAUCUCAUUGUGACUUCCCUGAAUAUGGUUGCUUAUAUUGAAAUCAGGGGUAGUUUGGGGCUCAUUUGUAGUGAUUAGCAAAUUAUCCAUUUGCAUUUGUUAUCAGGUAAAUGUUCCACUGAGUUCACAGAACCUUGGCAUUAAAUUUAUUAGCGGAAUUAAGCUUAGAGGUCAAUCUAGUAUAACUGUCAUUUUACACAAGAAGAAAUUGAAAGCCAAAUAGGUUAAGUGACUUGUUGAAGCCACUUAAAAAUUUAUGUCCCAAUUCACUCCAUAGACUUUUGUGAGGGUUGUAUGAGUAGAGUAAAAGCUGGAUCUAGGAUCUUCUAACUCUAGGUUCAGGAUAAGGGGCUUUGGAGUGUAAUUCUCUGCACUAAAAUCCCUGUAAUUUACUAGCCUCGUGACUUUGGAAAUAUUAUUUACAGACUUAACAUCUAUUAAAGAACAUAAUAAUUGUACUCAUCUCACUGUAUUGUUGUGAAGAUUAAAAUGCAUGAGAAGAGUCACACUUCCAGUAAAUGCUCAGUAAGGGCUUUGCCAUGUGUCUUGCUUUGGUCAAUAGGAAGGACGGAAGUGACUGUGUGUCAGUUCUGAGUGAGACUUCAAUAGGCAUGGCAAGUUUCUUCUGCCCUUUUGUGCUCCUGGAUCCAACCAUGUCCUGGGAAGUCACUCAUUUCAGAGAAAAGAGAUGUGGAAUAAAUCUGAACUAUUAUAACCGAUGUCAUCAUGAACAUUCUUGAACAAGUCUUUUUUGUGGACAUAUACAUUCAUUUUUUUCAAGUUUUAACCUAGGAGUGGAAUUACAUUAAAAGGGGCCAAACAGUUUUCCAAAGUGAUUGCACCAUUCUGCACUCUCACCAGCAAUGUAUGAGGGGCCCAGUUGCUCUACAUCCUUACCAGUGCUUAAUAUUGUCAGUCUUUUUAAGUUUAUCCAGUUUGGUGGGUGUUCGAUGAUAUCUCAUUGUUGGUAGCCUACUGAGUUGAAAAAAGUUUCUUGUUUAUUUGAAGAUUUCUAACACUAGCUUCUAGGUCCUCUGUUUCAUCCUCAAGGAGGGCUGCACAAAGUUUGACUAAACCCAGAACCAGCCUUAUCACUCAGACUUCCUGGUCUAUGCUACCAACUGGAAUUAGCCAGACCAAGUACUACCUAGCCCAGAAACACCCAGCCAGUUCACUAGGCAUUUAUUAAACCUCCCAGGUGGCUUAGAGGCCGCUGCUUAGAGGCCAAAGCUCAAUUCUCCUAAGUGGUGGAUGUAUCUGUGAACAUGAUGUAGAGGUAUUGAAGAUCUUUCAGUACUUUCCAUGUAUUUAACGAACAGCAAAAAUUCUUACAUUUUGGUAGACUAAAAUCACAUUGUUCUUUGAUAGCUGGAGAUGUUAUGGUAGUUGCUACAAUAAAUUUUCUAAAUCUUUCUUUUUCUGCUCCCUUUUCUGCUUUCUAUUCUACUUUUGCCUUCUUCCUUUUUUCUCUCUUCUUUUUCUCCUCCCCUCCCCUUUCGUUUCUUCUUUCAUCAGCUGAACAAGAGUUUAACAAAGCAUUUGAACAGAAACAAAAUCAUCAGAAAAACACAAAUUUCUGGAACAUUAAUACAUGCCCUAAUCUUUUCUGAAUUUAAUGUAGAACUGAUUUGUCAUAUAGAAUUUUAAUAUGUAUAUUAUUAAGUUCUACUUUGUCUUGCUAUUAUUACUUCAUGUAGUUUUUCCAUAUUUCUAGAUAACCCUCAUAAUUGUGAUUCCUAAUGGCAACAGAGUAGUCCAUUGUAUUAUCACACCAGCCUGCUGAGCCAUUUCACCAAACUGAUAUACAAUAUUCUGUUUUAUGAAUGUAGCCAUGUUUAUUUGACCCAUUCCAUUUCAUUAGACAUUUAUGUUACUUCCAGUUUGGAGUAUUAAUAAUAAUGCUAUAGAAAACGUCUAUAAAAUGUAAAAACAUUUUAGGCUGGGCAUGGUGGCUCACACCUGUAAUCCCUGCACUUUCGGAGGCUGAAAUGGGAAGACUGCUGGAGCCCAGGAGUUUGAGACUAUCCUGGUCAACAUGGCAAAACCCCAUCUCUACAAAAAAUACAAAAAUUAGCCAGGUAUGGUAGUGGGCACCUGUAGUCCCAGUGACUUGAGAGGCUGAAGUGGGAGGAUCGCUUGAGCCUAGAAAGUUGAGCCUGCGAAGUUGAGGCUGCAAAGCUGUGAUCGUGCAAAUGCACUCCCGCUUGGCCUACCGAGUGAGACCCUGUCUUAACAAAAAGAGGAAGACAAUAUAUUUUUACAUAAAUCUUUACCUGCCUUUCUGCUUAUUUUCUUAGGAUUAAUUUCUAGAUGUAGAAUUUCUGAGUCAAAGGGUGAUGAACCUUUUAAUCGUUCUUUCUCACCUAGCCAAUAACAUUUCAGAAAAGCCCAACCAACUUUGUUCUUAAAAUUAUAUGAGAAUGCCUAUUUCAUGGCAAAUGAAAACACUUUGAAAAUAUUGUAUAAUUAACAUGAAUCUUUAUUUUUAAAGAUUGUAAAACAACACCUAUCACCUGUCUUCUGCCAAAAUCUCACUCUUAAUAGAAGGGCAUGAUUACUUUUUUAGAUAUUGGUAUGAAAGCUGGAUUAUGCUUUGUGACAUACCCUCUACUUUGCAGGUUUUACAGGCAGUAGGAGAUGCUCUUCAGUCAGGAUCUGGGCACAGUCAGUGACAGUAGUAGGAUUUCUCAGUGUGUCUUUGUCAGCAGCAGGUCUUCUCCUGUGAUCCCUUAUUGGUGGUCAUUAUUGCUGUUCUUCAAAUCUUUCUGUAUCUUUGAGUUUCAGGCACAGAGUAGGAUUUCACUUCCCGACCCCCUUGUCAUUGGGUGACUGGUGGCUGGGCCAUGUGACCAGUUCUGGAAAAAUAAGAUAUGAGUGGAGAUGCUGUGUGUCACCAUUAGAUCAAGCAUUUAAUUGCUGGUGCAAGGCUGUGCAGAGCUUUCUUUCCCUCCCUCAUAUGCCUGGCAAUGUAGGAAUUGGUGGCCACUUCCCCAGCCUGGGUCUUGGAGUAAAGAGAUAUGGAGUGGUUCCCACCCUCCACCCCACCCCCACUGACCUGAGAUGGAUAUGUAGUAGAGUGAGAAAGAUGUCUCUUUUUUUUUUUUUUUGAGAUUUUGGGAAUGGUUAUUUAUUACCCCAGCCUGUUCUAACUGUUAUUCCUUCUUCUGUCUCCCUUCCUCCCAACAUAGAUGGCCAACACACCCCUAUCUAUGCUGUAGUCAUAAAGUCUUUGCCAUGAGCCUGAUGGUUGAGUUAACAGAAAUGGACUUGAAGCUCAUGUUACAUAGCUGACAUAAAAUGCUUGUUAUCUCCACUUACCACUUAAUUUUCUAAACUGUAUUUGACACUAAACAAAAAGUAAGUACUUUUGUUUAUUCAGAAAGUCACAAAAGCAAAUAGACUAUUGGCUGAAGCAUAGGAAGGCAGGGGCAGGGAGCAGGUGAUGCUGGCCAGCUCAUGGAGAGACUGAUGUCUCACCAGGCUGGGCCGUAGUGGCUCUAGUCUGUAGCUUGAAGCUUCCCAAAGUAGUACAAAAAGGCUUAGGCCUUUAUAACUUAAAAACCUGUCAAAAGAGUUUUCCUCCAUGUGCACAAAUAGGGUGUGUGUGUGUGUGUGUGGGUGUGUGUGUGUGACAGAGAGAGAGAGAAGAAACUUACUUGCCAGUGGAAAAUAAUGCCCCCUUUUAAACAAGCUUAAAAGGUCUUGAUAUAAGGCAGUGUGGUCUUGCUCCUCUGUUUACAGAAGAAUCCUUUCAUGCAGCCAUGAUAUAUGAAGAAUUUAAACCACUGAGAUCCUUUAUACUAACAGACCAUUUGUCUUGGAUUUUCCAGGUUUCCAGAUUGUCUUCAAUGUCUCAUCAUUGACUCUGAAAUUAGCUGUUGUGUGAACAGAUAUAUUACAAGUCCCUAAAUUAUCAUGUUGCAGAAACUUGUCAUUCUAACAGUUUAAUGGAGACUAGCUCUGUGUCAGCCCUCCCUCUGUCCUGAGACUUUGUCACUUGGGUAAUUCAGAUGUCAGUGACUCUGGCCCACUUCCUUGCUUUUUAUUAGCAUCAACAUUUCCAACUCCUGUUUUCUAGUUGUCUUUCUUUUUGUUUCUGUGAUACUUCCAAACCUGGGAUUUUUCCGUUAAGGGAAAAGUGGUCUUUUGCUUGGGAAGCAUGCUUGUCUUGUCAGUUGCGCUCCAGGGCCCUUUCUUUACUAGUGCGUUUUUAGACUUUUGGGGAACUAAAACCUUUUGGUUGCUAAAUUGUGUGUGUUCCCUACUAUCACAGAAAAGAAAGAAUGUGUGUUCUUUCUCUUUUAAAGUCAGCUAAAGUCUUGUUUAGGGAAUGUUUGAGGACUUCCCUGAAGGACGCCUCAGGGCACCGAUCCACCAGAUGUAGGCACUCUGGGAUGAACAUCUUUCUCCUUCCAGAAGGCUUUCCUUAUAGCCCAGUGGCUCUAGUAGUUUAUCAUCUGCAUCAGAAUCUCCAGGGUGGUUGUUACUGUGCAGAUUCUUGGGUUAUACCCCAACCCACUGAGUGUGAUCCUUUAGGGCUGGGACCCAGGAAGCAGCAUUGUAACGGGCAGCCCAGGUUUUGAAGCCCUGCCUCCUGGCAGAUCGCUCACUGUUUGCAGAGCAUCUCCUAAAUAAGCAUCUCACCUUGCCUUCAACAAAGCCACGGACUCCACUGUCUCAGAAAUGAGGCCUGGAGCGAAGGAAGAUGGCUCCCUCUCUCUUCUUCCUAAACUCUCCUUUGGAGCUGGGCCUAGUGUCCUUGAAUGAGACGGACUGGCAGGAAAGCCAGUGAGCAAGACUUAGGAAAUGCACAAGGAGCGAAACAUGGAGAUGUCAGAGCCUUUUCUGGUCAGGGAUGGUGGAAUCAAGCACCGUGUAGUGUGCAUUAGUCCUCAGAUAUUUAUUAUGUGCUUACCCUGUGCCAGGCACCAUUCUAGGUGCAUUCUGCCCAACCUUGCAUUUCCCAUCUUUUUGUCAGAUACGAAAAACGAAGCUGAAAUUUAAGUCCCGAAUUAUCACCAAAUAGGCAGGACCAGCAAAAUAAUUAGGAGAAUCAAGACAAAUUUCUGCCUUUUACUGUGUGUGUGUGUGUGUGUGUGUGUGUGUGUGUAUGUGUGUGUGUGGUAUGCGUGUCUCUGUGUGCUUUUGUGUUGCACAUAUUCAUGUGGGUUGGAUUUUGUUAAAUAGCUUGUGUUUUCCAAGCAUAUGUAUAUAGUUUCUUCAUUUUGUUACUUCAUUCAUGCAUUUGUUUAUUCAUUCAGUAAAUAUCUAUUCAUUAAUUCACCUAAUAUCUAUAGUAGGUCUGCUCUGUGCCAGUUAGUUAGUAGGCACUAGAGAUACAAUUAGUGCCAGUUAGUUAGUAGGUGCUUGAGACCAAGUUCUUGCCCUUGUGGAGCUUUUAUUUCAGAGUAGAUGAUGCUCUUGUAUGCCUUAGUGAAAACAUAGAUGUCGUUUUGUAAUUUCCUUUUCCGUAGAGCUCAUCGAUUCAGCAGAUUGCCAAGUAGAGCCCAUGAGCCCUGCCCUCUGCUUUCCUGUUUCCUGGUUUCACAAUGUCCUUUUCAGCAAAAAUGCCUUUCCAGACAUUUCAUUACAUGUUUGAACUAUUUAUACGCAAAACUGGGGAGGGAAAUGAAUUAAAAUUGUGAAGUCUGCAUAGCACUGAAGUCUAAAGAGGAAGUGAAGCUGUUCAGCUGUGGGUUUUGACUGGUUCCCAUUGGGAAACCCCUUUCCAGCAAAACCUUCGUGGAGCAACACGCUUCAAAGAGGUUCCCAUCAUGCCAUGUUUAAAACUUGUUAAUUGGACCUAAUUGCAAACAGCUGCUCAGCUUAGCCGCUGUUUGGGUUGGCAUUCACCUGCCAUAGAUCUAGGUCAUCUUUUUGUUACAUUAUAUUUAUAUUGGUAUCAUAAUAUAUUUGUUAUAAUCUCAGAAUUUGUCACCUUCCAAAGAUUUAUGAGAUAAUAAAUAAAAACACGGAGACAACAUAUUUGUCAAGCCCUGAGGUCACUGCCAAGUACGAAAGCACUUGGGAGUGGAUGCCCUGUUUGAUGCACUGUGUGUAGUCAUGGCACUUCACUCACACACGUGGGAAGAUUUCCAACAGCAAUGGAAACCCGUGGUGUUUGCUGGAAGCAUUGAAUGAUCUUUUAUUGUCAGUUUCUUCUUCGUUUAACUAUUGCCUUUUAAUGCCAUACACCACAGGAACAAGGGGGAGCCUAAUAAAUAGUAGUUUAUUAGGUGAAAUCGCUGUUGGAUCUAGUUUUGUACAAUAUUCAUGUUUCCUAAAAAUCACUUGGGGGAACAACUUAUUGGUUCAAUGUGAGGGGUGAUUUGCAAAAUAUUUAACAAGUGGUAAGGCAUGUGUACUGAGCAAUUAGAAGGAAUACUGGCCAUAGUAACUGGCAUGGCCAUACUCAGGCAUACUUGUUGUGUAGCAACCAAAGUGUCUAUUAUCAAGCAAGUUAUCACUAAGGGUAAGUAGAACAUGAUCCUGUUGGGAUUCAGUGUAGAACAUGGACCUCAGAGUUGUCUUACUCUAGGGAUAAGAGAGUCAGAGUUUUCUACCAACUCUCGCCCAUCAUUAGUUGAAUGAAGUCCUGUCAUGCUAGUGGCUGAGUGAGCUCUGGAGGUCUGAGGGUGCCUUUAUGCAAAGCAAUGCUGGUUUGGCAACUGGAAGUCAGGCUACUGAGUACUGAAAUGAUGAGUGCCUAGGGGUAUGGGUGGGCACCAGCAGCACCUGCUAUGGUGAUAGGGGGGCAUUUGAGGAUGUUGGUGGGGAUGAGCAUGAAAGAUUUCUCUCUCUGCAUCUGUCAUGUCAGUACAAAUAGCCUCCCUGAGGUUAUCUGAAACAAAUUGAUCCUCAGAUUAUGUCUUAUAAAUUAAAUGGAAUUGAGGGAGUGGAGCAUUUAAUGAAAAUGGUGAUGGUCUUGAGAACAGUGUAAGCAGUUAAUACUAAUUUGUUCUUCUAUGUGAUAAACAUGGCUUUUCUUUUUUCCAGAUGAGGACAUUGAGGAUCAUAGAUGUUGAAAAACUUGCCCAAGCAUGCACAAGAGGAAUGGUAAAGACAGGAUUUGAAUUUUGACCUCUCUGACUCCGUACCACAAACUUCUGAAAGUGUGAAAGAGAUGGGUGGGGUCUUGCUGCAUUGCCCAGGCUGAUAUUGAACUGCUGACCUCAAGAGAUCUUCCUGCAUCAGCCACUCAAAGUGCUGCGAUGAUAGGCAUGAGCCACUGCAACUCGCUGGAAGUUGGAUUUUGAAUGUUUUAAAGUAGAGCGAGUGGGGUCGCCUGUUAGGGAAAACAUCCCAACACCUUUUCUCCUCUGAGCAGUUCCCAUGUUCACAUCCCACAAGGGCCUCUGUGCUUCAGGAUGUCUCCGCAGUUGCUCUUCAGCCUCCUCUUGCUGCACAGGCCAAGGGAACUGUUUGAUGACUGCAGCUUGUCCGCUUGCCUCCCUUCAACCCUUCAACUUACCUCUUUCCAUUAGCAUUAUCCCUGGCCAGGUGUGUGCUGGGGGUCACUCGUAUGGACUCACAAGGGCCAAUGUUAAAUUUUCAGGAAUGUUGUGAGCCACUUAUUAAAUACAGCCAUUAUAAAAUGAAAUGGCCUAAGCUUACAUUGAAAUAAAUUUCAUUAAAAACAAAGCUAAUAAUAAUAAUACUCAAAACUCAUUACUUUCAAAUUAUUUUACUCUAUGUUACUAUUAUCUAUGCUCUUGGGGUUGUUUCUGUCUGUUGUGAUGGCACGGUGGAAAUGUUACAUAACAGUGUGCUCUGCUAUGCCCUUUUUCCAACUGUGUGCUUCAUGAUGUCUUUUUGGAGAUUGAAGUCAGCCAUGGUUAUAGUAUUUCCAUCAUGUAAUUGGUAAACAUUAUGAAUCAGGAGUCCCUCUCUUACCCAGAGAGCCUGCUGUUAACAUUUACCAGCAAAUCACAACCUGUAGCUUUCAGAUCCUUAGAUCAGUUUCUCAGUUCUAGCACUGUUGACAUUUUAGGCCAAAUAAUUCUUUGUUUUCUGGGGGGCAUUGCAUGCAUUGUAGAAUGUUGAGCAGCAUCUCUGGCCUCUACCCACUGGAUGCCAGUAGCUUCCCCACUCUGGUUGUGACAACCAAAAACGUCUCCAAAUGUUGUCAAAUGUCCUCUGGGGGAUAAAGUUAUUCCCACUUAAGAACCACUGGCCUAGACAACAUUACCCUUUAAUGUAAGUGACUUGCCAUUCUUCCCUUUUGAAACUUUAGCAUGCAUCUGACAAAUAGUCAGUACCCAUUAUGACUAUAAAUAUAAUAAUGAACAAUAUAAGCAUUGUCCCUGUCUUCAUGAAACUCCAGUAAAAAAUCAUGGACUAAGCUGGGAAUAUAUUGAGUAUCUAUUAGAACUAGAACAUGCUAUCCAUAUGCUAAUGUGCUGAUCAUGAUCAGUAGAUGAUCAUGAUCCUUAUUAAUUCUAUUAACACUAAUUGCAACAUUGUAUAAUGUUUGUGUUUCCCCUUCAGGUGACUGUUGUCUCUUGGGCACAGGUAGCUGUCAACAGAGCUGAUUUGCUGAUUUCUGUGGUCCAAAUCCUCCCACCAUGGCAGAUUUCAACUUACCAGAGGGAUCUCCUGAAUGUGGAACUGGAAAGAGAUGCAUGCAUUUGACUCUGGCACUCUGGAUAGAAGAAAAACUCAGAGAGGGAAGAAGUCAGACACAGCCAGACAGGGCUGCCAGCCAUUCCACCAAUGAAAGAGGAGACCAGGAUGUUUCAAACAGGCAAAUACAAGAGUCAUUUUCUUUCUGGCCUGUGUUUACAUAUUGUGGUGGAAGAGUCAAAAAGAUCUCAAGCUUCAAAGGUGAAUCUUGUUGUGAGUUGUGAAAGCACCACCCUGUGGAGUGCAGCUCAGCAUGUGUCACCCCAGGCGCUGGGAUGUCCCUGGCUUCAUCCAACUUUGGUUGCUGUCUUCAUGCUCAGGAAUUCUGCAACUGCCGUGGCUUUUGCUGUUGUUAUGUCUGUAGUGUUGUCAUCAUGUUGUAAGUGGAUGAGUCAUGGACAACAUUUUCACACACGUACAUGGGUUCCAUCGACCAGGCUUGAGGACAACUGGAUUUCUUUUCUUUCUUUGUUUUAAAAAAGAAGACAAGUCAAGAUAAAGCAAAUAAAAAUGCUCGGCACAUUUGCUGAAAUCUUAGCAAAAUCAAAUUACUAGUAAUUUGUUAAUCACACUAUACUAUUUUGAGCUAAUCCUACUUAACCCACCCUCCAUCUUCCUUAUGCUUGCCUCCCUGGUGAACUCCUAUUUAUGUUACAAAGCUCAGUGUUUAUGUUACUACUUUGGUGCUAUUUCUGAACAUUAAA